GGGGCCAUAGCUGAAGCGUGACUCACCCAAAGCAGGCCUUGCUGACGCACAUUGCCCCACCACCCCUCAAUGCCCUUGUCCUCCUGUCAGGACCAACUGGGGGGUCUGGGAUUCCUGGGGAGCUAUAUGCCACCCUCCCUACAUGGGUGGUGGUGGCAGGGCGGGCAAGUGUUGCCUGCCAAGCUUUAGGAGGUCUCUGGGCUGACCACGGCGUUUCCUGUGGCAGAGAUUCCAGGCACCACUGUGGCAGAAGGUUGGACGUCCUACUGGCAGGACCUCGAGCAUCACAAUUGCACGCAUGCUCUGGGGCAUGUUGUCACCCAUGUCAGAGAUUCUCUCCUGGGCUCUCCUAGGCAUGCUGGCUUGCAGAGAACGAGAACAUUGUCAGCUUCUUUUGGCAAACCCACUGAGGACCAUCUUACCCAGUCAGAGUCAGCCCGAUCUUGAGAGUCAGGCUCUGCCAUAUUCCCCUUUACAGAAAAGGACAUU
rnacentral:lncRNA from 1 species